UUUAUGGAGAGUUUGAUCCUGGCUCAGGAUGAACGCUGGCGGCGUGCCUAAUACAUGCAAGUCGAGCGAACGGAUGAGAAGCUUGCUUCUCUGAUGUUAGCGGCGGACGGGUGAGUAACACGUGGAUAACCUACCUAUAAGACUGGGAUAACUUCGGGAAACCGGAGCUAAUACCGGAUAAUAUUUUGAACCGCAUGGUUCAAAA
rnacentral:rRNA from 1 species